UACGAAGGGUGCAAGCGUUACUCGGAAUUACUGGGCGUAAAGCGUGCGUAGGUGGUGAGUUAAGUCUGUCGUGAAAGCCCCGGGCUCAACCUGGGAAUGGCGAUGGAUACUGGCUCGCUAGAGUGCGGUAGAGGAGAGUGGAAUUCCCGGUGUAGCAGUGAAAUGCGUAGAGAUCGGGAGGAACAUCAGUGGCGAAGGCGGCUACCUGGACCAGCACUGACACUGAGGCACGAAAGCGUGGGGAGCAAACAGG
rnacentral:rRNA from 1 species